GGGCAAUUAGCUCAGGCUGGUUUAGAGCACUACCUCGACAAGGUAGGGGUCGCUGGUUCGAAUCCGGCAUUGCCCACCA
rnacentral:tRNA from 1 species